rnacentral:rRNA from 1 species
GAAGUUUUCAGAGAUGAGAAUGUGCCUUCGGGAACCGUGAGACAGGUGCUGCAUGGCUGUCGUCAGCUCGUGUUGUGAAAUGUUGGGUUAAGUCCCGCAACGAGCGCAACCCUUAUCCUUUGUUGCCAGCGGUCCGGCCGGGAACUCAAAGGAGACUGCCAGUGAUAAACUGGAGGAAGGUGGGGAUGACGUCAAGUCAUCAUGGCCCUUACGACCAGGGCUACACACGUGCUACAAUGGCGCAUACAAAGAGAAGCGACCUCGCGAGAGCAAGCGGACCUCAUAAAGUGCGUCGUAGUCCGGAUUGGAGUCUGCAACUCGACUCCAUGAAGUCGGAAUCGCUAGUAAUCGUGGAUCAGAAUGCCACGGUGAAUACGUUCCCGGGCCUUGUACACACCGCCCGUCACACCAUGGGAGUGGGUUGCAAAAGAAGUAGGUAGCUUAACCUUCGGGAGGG